GUGCACCCAGAGAAAAGGUGACAGUAAGCCAAAAGAGAAAAUGACAGUGAACCUGAAGAAAAUACAACAGUGAACCCAGAGAAAACAUGACAGUGAACCCAGAGAAAAGACAAUGUUGCUCCCAGAGUAAAGACAACAGUGAACUCAGAAAAAAGAUGACAGUGAAAGCAGAGAAAAUACAACAGUGAACCCAGAGAAAAGACAAUGAUGAAUUCAGAGAAAACACAACAGUGAACCCAAAGAAAAUACAACAGUGAACCCAGAGAAAAGUUGACAGUGAAUCCAGAGAAAAGUAAAAAUUAUACAUCAACUGGGUCUUAAGAUGGCCAACUCAAUGCAGCUGGGAAGUGCUUCUCCCAUGGAGAAAGGCUGAGAUUUUGACUAAAUCAACAUAAUUUGAACAGAUCUUUGUAAAGAAGAUGUGCCAAGGCAAGCAGAUCACCUGAGGUCAGGAGUUCAAGACCAGCCUCCCAACAUGGUGAAACCCUGUCUCUUCAUAAAUACAAAAAUUAGCCAGGUUUUUCUUCAAAAUUACAAUAUCCACUGUAUAGAGCACCAUAGACAUAAGUAACU
rnacentral:lncRNA from 10 species